rnacentral:rRNA from 1 species
GACGAACGCUGGCGGCGUGCUUAACACAUGCAAGUCGAACGGUGAAGCGCCUUCCUUUUUGGUGGGUGUGGAUGAGUGGCGAACGGGUGAGUAACACGUGAGUAACCUGCCCACUUCUUCUGGAUAACCGCAUGAAAGUGUGGCUAAUACGGGAUAUUCUGGGUCUGUCGCAUGAUGGGUCUGGGAAAGAUAUUGUUUCGGUGGGGGAUGGGCUCGCGGCCUAUCAGCUUGUUGGUGGGGUGAUGGCCUACCAAGGCGGUGACGGGUAGCCGGCCUGAGAGGGUGGACGGUCACACUGGGACUGAGACACGGCCCAGACUCCUACGGGAGGCAGCAGUGGGGAAUAUUGCACAAUGGGCGCAAGCCUGAUGCAGCGACGCCGCGUGAGGGAUGGAGGCCUUCGGGUUGUGAACCUCUUUCGCCAGUGAAGCAGACCUGCCUCGUUUGUGGGUGGGUUGACGGUAGCUGGAUAAGAAGCGCCGGCUAACUACGUG